UACGUAGGGUGCGAGCGUUGUCCGGAAUUACUGGGCGUAAAGAGCUCGUAGGUGGUUUGUCGCGUUGUUCGUGAAAACCUGAGGCUUAACCUUGGGCGUGCGGGCGAUACGGGCAGACUGGAGUACUGCAGGGGAGACUGGAAUUCCUGGUGUAGCGGUGGAAUGCGCAGAUAUCAGGAGGAAUACCGAUGGCGAAGGCAGGUCUCUGGGCUGACACUGACGCUCAUGCACGAAAGCGUGGGGAGCAAACAGG
rnacentral:rRNA from 1 species